rnacentral:misc_RNA from 1 species
GAUGAAGAACGCAGCGAAAUGCGAUAAGUAAUGUGAAUUGCAGAAUUCAGUGAAUCAUCGAAUCUUUGAACGCACAUUGCGCCCGCCAGUAUUCUGGCGGGCAUGCCUGUUCGAGCGUCAUUACAACCCUCAGGCCCCCGGGCCUGGCGUUGGGGAUCGGCGGAGCCCCCCGUGGGCACACGCCGUCCCCCAAAUACAGUGGCGGUCCCGCCGCAGCUUCCAUCGCGUAGUAGCUAACACCUCGCGACUGGAGAGCGGCGCGGCCACGCCGUAAAACACCCAACUCUUCUGAAGUUGACCUCGAAUCAGGUAGGAAUACCCGCUGAACUUAAGCAUACAAUAAGCGGAGGA